GGCGCGCGGCGGGCUGAGGGAGCGGCCGUAUCGAUUUUGUGGUGUUUUGCGCGCUGAGGUGAUUUUGUGAUAACGCCCCACGGCUCAGCUCGACUCCCGCUCCCACAGCGGGCUGCUCUGAGGGAGCUGCCCCCGCCUCCCCUGCACGCUGUAAUUACUGGAGCACAUAAAGCGGCUCCAGCGGGAAUUUAUCGCUUUCAGGCAGAAAUACUCACAGCCAAAUAAAAGAUAGAGUAGAAGUGCCAGAAGCAAUACAUAACAGGCUUUACUGACAUUUCGCGUUGAGAAGCCCCACCGGUGAGCGAGCAUCGUGCCAUAAAUCUCAGUGCAAACGCGGUGAAAGCAAACGGGCUGUUCUGUGAGGGAACUUCAUCACAAAAGCGAUGCGGAGUGGGCAAAUUUUGCAGGUGAAAGCUGUGGGAAACAGCUUUCAGCUCUGCUGAAGUGUGGGGGCUGUUUUGGCCUUUCAUGGAAGGUUAAAUGUUGAUCUUUGCUGCUGCUGUUAGCCGUAGGUGCAAGGAGAACAGUGCGAGGAGGUCAGACCUGGUGGUGCCUCGUCCCAUGUGUGCUCACAAUAUCUGAAUGCAGAUGAGGAGUGAUGGCAGGUGACACAGCUGGGACAGGGACCUGCUCCAUCAGCCCUCUGAAACCAGGAUAAACUCACAAAAUAACUAGCGACAAUCCAUUAAACAUCAGCAGCUCCCAGCCUUAACGUCCUCCUCCCUCUUGCUAGGAUGCUGUGCACUUUGCAUGCACUUCCGAAAAUGAGCGCCCAGCAUUUGGCCUUAAGUUGGUCCACGGGAGGCUCAGGUUGGAUAUUAGGAACAGUUUUGUCUCAGAAAGAGCAGUGCUGCAGUAGCACAGCUGCCCAAGGGAUGUGGUGUUGUCACCAUCCCUGCAGGUGUUCCAGAACCAUGGAGAUGUGGCACUGAGGGACGUGAUCAUUGCCUAUGAAGGGGGUGGGUUGGGGUUGGACUUGGUGAUCUUAGAGGUCUUUUCCAACCAGAGUGAUUCUGUGAUUCUACGACCUCCUGGUGCGUCAUGCCAGAAGGUGGCAAAUGGACCUGCUGCCCAGCUGCAACUUGGAUGCGGUUUGAAGCAUUUGAGCCAAAAUUACAAACACCACAUGAUCCAUAGUGCUCUUAAGUCAACGUGGCAUUUAUGUUCGCAAAAUAUGAGGUGCCGAUAUAUACUAUAUAGGACAAUAAAACAGAUAAGCACUUCAUCUGUCUUUCCCCCGGCUGAAAUAUGGUUAUUGUCCGUCUCGGUAAAUCCACUUGUGUGUGCGUGGUCUCCUUUGUGCUGAGGCAUCGUGUGAGCAUUUACAAACAUUUACAACUAAGCUUAACUAAGGCAAAGUACUGCCUUGGGCAGCCAGCCUCGAACAAAUACUUGCGUUCAAGAAAGAUGUAAAAGUCACCAGUGAUUCAUUCGCCCUAGUUUUAUAAAGGUUAAGGAGUGGGCGCUCUUGGAAAUCUAAGAAACGUCUUCCAGUGCAGUGAAUAACUGUGAGCAAUUGGACAGUCAGGAGCAAAAAAAACGACGCAGAGAACCGGAGGGGGGGGGGGGGGGGGGUGAGAAAUAUAUCGCUAAAUUUGGUUUAUGCAGUAUUUAAAGUAUGAGGAAAGCCAUUCCAGGCAGUAUAAAGCUCCCAUACUUCAAAAGGAAUUUGCUGCAUGACAGAAAGCUUGUAGAGUGGUUUCAGCGUUGGUGCGAUGCCAUGCGGCAGCAAAGCAAGGUGCAUGCAUGACUUGAACCCAAUGAGACAGCGAUGGUACUGCCUGUGCUGAGCACAAAACAGCAUUUCCAACAGCGCAGGGCUGCAGAGUAAAACUGGUGCUGAAGGAGGUCACUGGUAGAAUCCACACCACCCUACCCCGUCAUUUGGAAGCGUGGCCUAUCUGGUAAAGACUGCCAUACGAAAUGCACCACUACCUUGUAUUCUAUUUGUUAAAGGAUGGCAUCCUCACCACCUUGCUGCAUCAUUUUGAAGCGUGGCAAACCUCGUAAAGACCUUCCUAUGCAAAUACACCACUGCCUGAUGUUCCACUCAUUAGCAAAGUUAUUCUGUCGCUUCUCAGUAAGUAGACCACCGCUGUGUGACUCAUUGCAUGGCGGCAAGUCAAAACAGAAGAUUGGAAGAGCGUUCCAGGAGAAGCAGCCUUGCACUGUGAAUUCCCUCUUUCUUCAGAUGUCUGAAUCAAAGCCUUCACAGGCUGAGCUCAGCUCACUUGCCAGGCCACCCUUGGCGUGGUUGUUGUGCACAGUCGAAGCCCCGUGAGCUUGAUUCUGGACCUCCUGCGUGGCAGCGUGGACUUGAAAGACAUUGGGCUGUGGAAAUCACUUGGUGCAGCAACUGGUUAGGGCUGUUAGAGAAGCAAGUGUUAACAUUUUGAAUAUUGAGGGAUUUGAUCCCCAGAAGGAAAUAGCAAUAAUAAUAAUAAUAAAAAAAGUCUGUUAGGCUUUCAGACUAAGCAGCACAGUCAGCAUUGCAUUACACAGCGUUAAAUUAUUAGUCGAGGUUCAACAGCAGGAACAUCUGCUGGUGUUAGACAUGGCAUUUUUAAUUAAAGGCAGCAGCCGCCUGUGGUUCAUCAGUUCUGCUCUCGCCCUGUGAGUUGCUAAACCCAGAGGCUGCUCUGGCUGGAGCAGGUGCUGUGGAGCUGGUGCUGCAGAAGGGUGAGUGACGAAGUCCCUAAGGUGACAGGCAAUUUGCACCUGGGCUGAAUGGCCCAGCAAUCAGCAGGAGCUCUCCAUGAAUCCUCACCUCGGUCAAAACUGCAAGGGAUUUUGUGAAAUUGAGAUUACCCACCUGGUUUUUCCUCUCCUCACUAUCUGCAGGGUAGGAGAACAGGAGUUUUGAAUAGAAAGCAAAGUAGGUGGGAGGAAGAAGGCCUCCCCUGGGAGUCCUAUUCCCAAAGGCAUUAAGGUUUGAGAAGGGAACACCAUCAGCUGCACACUCAGACCCCUGGGCUCCAAACAGAACCAACAAGUACCAGCAGACUUCAGCCAAGGGAGGACACAGGCAUGAUACAGAUUGCCCAAAGCCCCAUCAGGAUGGGUAAAUCUAACAAAUCAAGAAAUAGUUGUAGAUGGAGCAAGAAACGUGCCUUUCUGCCUUCAUGCACCCACUAAAACUGAAAUGCUGUCCCGCAGCCUAAUCUGAAGGGAUCCAUCAUUCCAGUAAUGUAUUACUUUGAACCUGAUCACAAAAGGCAAGGUCCUGAUUUGUCACAGGCUGGGGCAGAGGUCCAGGGCAGGCACAGACAGCCACAUGGCAGAUGUGCAGAGCUGGUGUCCCAUCCUGUCGGUGUGCAGGGGGCCGGGAUUUCCCUCGACGAGUCCUGCAGAUGGUGUUUGUUUGCUCAGCCACGAUGAGAAAGGAAAAUAUUUGGUGCAAUCUGCUAGCAGGCAGAGUCAGACAUAUGGUUGGCGCGCUGCAAGCCUGGGUGCUCGGGAAAAGGCAGAGCUCUGCAGCACCUUUCAGAUGCUGGAUUACCUUUGAGCAGGAUGAAAGUGCAGGGAAACCUUUGAAGAAGAUGGCUGCAGAUUUCCUAAUGUGCCGGGGCUGCUGUACUGUGACCCCUCUUAUUAUUAGCCCCAUUCUAAUUAGUCCUGUUACACUAUCAUGAUUAUAUUAGUGUUAUUAUAAAUAGCCCAAUUAUAAUUAACACGAGCCUCAGCCCUGGCUUAAUGCUUGGUGAAGUUCUCCCUGGCUGGAUGCCCAUUCAUCAGGCAAACACAAAACAUGGGUUAAAAAUGACAGAGGCAAUUAAUGGUGAUUGGCACGGGGGAGCUGAGGUGUGGGUGGAGCAUCACCUUCGUUCUCUUUACAUCUGAUUUAUGAUGAUCUUUUCAGACGUAUCCUUGCAGCAUGAAGCCUCCUGGAAGUGUUUGGGCCACCCCAAAACAUAACAUUCUUUUUAUUUCCCUUUUAGUCGAAAUAAAAGUAAAUCCUCUGAAUAUUCAGAUGUCCAUUUCCCGAAUACCAGCACCCGAUUCCUGAUCGAGACUAACCCCCACGUCAGGUACCAUUGUGCUGAAGGGUAAUGGGGCCGUGAGCUGCCAGCUGUGAUCAGACCCUGCACACCCAUCCCACCCCAGGAGAAAGCACCGUGGGCACCACCCAUGCCACUGUGCCACAUCCAUGGGUGACCUCAAGUCCCAUGGUGCCCAGCCUGAACCGUGGCAAAGCCCUGGGUUCAAAGCUCCCUGGGUGCUUUCCCUGGAAAAAACAAGGAGCAAACUCCCCAGUAUGCCUCUGUGUGCUUGCAGCUAUGGAUACAUAUGUUCUAUACAGAGUUACGUCCUUUUGGCACCUGGGAUUCCUGCCAUCGCUGCAAUAUGAGCUCUGUCUGAAACUGCAUCCUCAGCCGUGCUGCCUCCACUGCCCUGCGUGUAGCCUCUUCGAUGAAACAGCAGCAGUGUAAGAAAGCUGAGGCCCAGAAGACAGGCCAGGGUCCCAUCCUGUGCUUUGCUGGUCUGUGGAGCAACGCUGACCCGGACGUCUUCGUUUGACCUAUAAACAUGCUUGUUGUCCCAGUGCAGGGACAAAUCCACUGCUGUGGUUCUCACGAAAGGACAAAGAAGUCCUAUUAGACCCUCAAUUAAUAUUUACAGUAGUGAUAAGGGCUGAGAGAACCGUUGUUUGAUUUGCCCCCACAGGACAGCUUUCCUUGGCUGCCCUUGGUGGCCACUUGCAUUAAGGUUGAAGCCAAGCAAGGAUCAGGCUUGAGAAGUGCCAUGCUCUCACCAGCAGUGCAAAGAUGGGACAGAGAUUUGAGUCAGUGUCUCUUAGUCCACAUCUCCAAUUACAAAGUUGAUUUGAAUCCAUCUCACAAUCCACACAACCAACUAUGAAGGCCCUCCCUGGCCCUGGACUUGUUUAGUGUUGUACUGCAGACACCUUGUGUUGCUGUAUUUUAAAGCAUUCUUAAAUGAAACUCAGUUGAAGCCCAUGCAGUUCCAAUUAACACAUACGGGCCACAUAAUCACUCUGGCUUGGCGUUAUUGCUCCCCUUUGCCUCAAACAAAGGUUACUAGGGUGGCUGAAGUGAGAUUGCAUUAAACAAGCGAGAUGAAAAGCUUGCUUUCCCCCUGGCUUCAGCAUUCAUCUCUCACUCACGGAGAGGUGAUGUGUAGCAGUAUGCAGAGCGCUCCUCUGUCCCUUCCAGGGACACUGGGGUCAAUGUUUUCAGAGAUCUUAAGCUCCCUGCUCAGACCAAGAGAAAGAACCAGGCUCGACGGCUGCCUGGCUGCAUUGAAAAAGUCAUUUUCUGAGCAGUAGCUUUGUAUUUCCAUCCUGCAACCUGAACGAGCCCUCCAUGGGGAGACCGAGGGGCGAUAGGAAACCCAGAGCUGGCUUUCAGAGGUAGGAUGUUAUUAGCUUCCACAUUUCUUGUCCUGGAGCCAAGCCUGGAGCAUGUCCUACCUUAGAAAAGGACAGGUUAAACCCACAAGGCUCAGAGGGGGUUUGUAAUAUAGAAAAAAUGAUAAUUCAGCCCCUGGUGAUGCUUCAUGCAGCCUACUUGCCAGAUGCUUCAACCCCCUGAGCAGUUGUAACUACUUCUCCACAGGUUUCAAUUAAAUUCCCUUAAGUACCUAAACUUUUGCUUGUUUGGACCAAUACCUGCAGACUUGAUUGCAAUAGCAGAUGUUUUAUUUUUACCUGCAAGUGAAACUGGAGAGCGUACAUCACGGCUGUGACACAUUUCACAUGAAGCAGAUGUUUCUAUUAAUGCCAGAAUUGGGUGGAAAUCCAAAGGAUGCUUUUUGCUUUUUUGGGGGGGGAAAUUCUAUUUUACCCAAUUAAACUGCAACUUGCUGAAGUAUUCCAGUGAAUCACUCCCUUUUUUUUUUUUCUUCUCUUUUUUUUUGAUUAGCAGGCUCUAAAGGGACAAAAGAAUAG